GGCAGGGUAGCUCAGAGGUAGAGCAGCAGCAAAAUGCAGGUUCGAAUCCUGCUUCAACUC
rnacentral:tRNA from 1 species